GGGGAUAUAUCUGGUAGCAAUAUAUGUGAGCUAUGUAUUGAGGUAACAUGAGGUUCAAUUCAUUGCUGAAACAUAUUCAUAGACAAAAUUAUCUGUCAGCGAUCAUGAAUUGUCCAGAGUAAUUAGGAGUACAGUAAUUUAAAUUGAGUACUUAAGCAAAAAUGAUCAUAUAAUGGGAAUAUAAGGAUAUUAUUGCAAAAUAAAAUGGCUGAAAGAAAACAAAAAUUAGGAUCAAAACCAGUUAGUUAGAUGGUUUUGAUAGAGAAACAAAUAAAGUUGACUUCUGUAGUUGGGCAGGGGACUAUCAGAUAGUUUUGGAGGUAAAAUCAUUCUUAAAAACGGCAAUGCAACAGAUUGCUUCGCUUUCUAAUUCUCUUGGCUUCUUUUCACAAUAACAAUGCAACUUUUUGGUCUCUUUUGCUACUCAAAACUCCAGAACAUUUCAAUGCAUCAUUUUAUCAGGUAAACAAUGCUGGAACCACCAUUCCUAAGGAAGCCACAGAAUUUACCAUGGAGGAUUUCUCAACUAUAAUGACCACCAAUUUUGAGUCUGCUUACCAUCUGUCCCAACUUGCAUACCCCCUACUCAAAGCAUCAGGAAAUGGAAACAUCAUUUUUAUCUCCUCUGUCACGGGUGUUAUAGCUGUACCUCUAUGUUCCAUCUAUGCAUCGACUAAAGGUCCAGUUCAAUAUUUUCUUUCAAAUUUUCUUUUAUUUAUUUUAUUUUAUUUUUUUUUCAUUUCUGUUGGAAAGCAACAGAACUAAAAUCUGGUUGCAAGAAAGUCUUUUAAAAGCUCAGUAACUUUUUGACUUCAGGAGCAAUGAAUCAACUGACAAAGAACUUGGCAUGUGAGUGGGGAAAGGACAACAUUCGAGUGAAUGCAGUUGCUCCAUGGAUCAUUAGAACCUCUCUCAUUGAUUCCAUAGAAGUACAACUUAUCCCUCCACACUUUUCUGUGAAUUGCUAUAUUUAGUCUUCUUCAUUCCAUCUCAAAGACCUGACUUGAAUGUUCUUACUGGAGAUAGUCAUAAGCCUUUAGCGUACAAUUAGUAUAAGAGAGCAGGCCACAAAAAUUCCUCAUCUUUAGUUCAGACAAUAAUUAUAUUGAAAGAUAAUUGCAGGAUUGAAAAUCCAAAAUAACCCAUUAUGUCAAAAUGGGUUGUGCAACAUUUUUUUCAUCUACGUCAGUGUAUUCACUUGCUUACAACUUCUGAGAAUGUAUGUAAAUCUAUUUGCAAUUGGAAGAAAUGGUGCUAAUAUUAAGUGUUAACUUUCUUUUCUUUCAGAAAGAUCCAAGGGUCCUCGAGCAUGCUAGUCGUUUGAUAGCCCGUACUCCUAUACCCCGUCCAGGAGAACCUAAUGAGGUUUCAUCAGUGGUAGCAUUCCUGUGCUUGCCAGCCGCAUCAUACAUAACCGGACAAGUUAUUUGUAUUGAUGGAGGAUACUCCGUGACUGGAUUUUAGCCCUACGGACAUGAAAUGAUCUUCUAAAUUUUCUGGCCGUUCUUCCAAAGUCAGUUCAGGGCUUCAUGAUAUGGAUGCUAUUCUAAUAAGCUCUCUGUUAACGAGAAAGUUUCUGGAUUGUAUUUUAGUUGUCUAUGCUGUCACCAUUGUCCUGCUUAUUUUGUAUCUUUUCAUCUAUGUUAAAUAAUAAAUUUCCAACUUAAAAGACCCCUUUGAGUCCCAUAGUUCAAAAAAUGAACUCUAGAAAUCAACUUCAUAAGUGCCUAUUAGCUACUAAAUGUGGAAUAAACACAAUAACUAAUAGAAAAUAUGAUGUCCUGGCGUUCAGAUAAAAAUUUUUUCUUUUUCCUUUUGCAAAAGAGAUAAUAAUUUAUCUGGUUAUUUUGGCCAGAUAUCCAUCCAUCCCAGAGAACUUGAUAAGUAGUCGUGUACCACAAUUUAGAGCAAAUAAAUAGUCUACAGUGGAGGUAAGAUAUCUUUGAUUAUAAUUCAUUGGACAAUUUCAAAAUGUAAUUUGGACAUCAUAUUAAGUAGUUGAAAUUAAUACCUUUAAAAAUUUCUUCCCACGUUCACUUAUAAUUUUCUUUUAAGUACGGAAGGUAAACAUUCUUUUUUAUUUCCAUUCUCGUUUUGUUUCCUACAAUUGCUCCGUUACAAAAUGGAAAUCACCAUAUAAGAUAUUCCAUGCAAUUAAAGCGUAACUAAUUUUGGCUUUGCUUCUUAUCAUCAACCAUUUUAUGGUAAUAAACACUUACGUACUGAAUCCUUCCUCGACUGGCACAACAGACAACCAAACAAUACUUGACAUGUUCUUUGGUUGACAUGUUGACGCCUUGCCGACACUUUUCUGAAUAAAGUUGUAACGCAUUUUGAAAGGUGGCUGUGUUUGUGUGGGUUGCAUUCUACUUUUUAACUCGUAUCUGAGGCUGUUGUCUCAGAAAUUUGAAAAUUGGCAAAGGUGAAGAUGGGAGAAGCAGAGAUCAAUAGCGAAGGAAAUAGAUGGCCUCUCAAUGGAAUGACUGCCUUAGCGACUGGUGGAACUCGAGGCAUAGGGUUGGUAACCUCCAAAUUUUCUCAAGUUCUCAUCUCCUUUUAUCUAAUUCCAUCUUUUCGCAGAAUAAGUUUACACUGGUUGUUGAUCUACUUGUCUAAAUCCUAGUUUUUGUGUUUGGGUGUUAGGCAAGCAAUAGUAGAAGAACCGGCGGGACUUGGUGUUACACCCCAAAUUCACUCAUGAAAACAUAAGAGAAAUUUGUAAUGAAAUCUCACAUCAUCAUACUUAUCACUAUACAUUCUUUAAAUAAUAAGCAUAACAAUUAGCCCUCUAAAAAAAAUAUUUAAAUACAAAAUGAACUAGAGUAAUCCCCAAGGUUCUAAACAAAACUUCUAUCUUCUAAGACCAAAAGCUACAUCCCUAAUCAGUCUACAAAAUAUUAGAGACGAGGGGUGACUUAUUAACUCGGUAAGUAAUAUAUUCACAAUAUUAAAAACUAUUAAUCAUAAACAAUUAAAAAUUAUAAUAAUCAUUUUAUCAUUUGGCAUAAUUGAAAAAUUCAUUAUAAGCAUUUAAAUAAUCAAAUCUUUCUAAAAACAUGUAAACAUAAAACAUAGUUAACUCAUGUCGCGAAGUUCUUGUCAUCAUUUAGGGUACCGCACCCCACAUUGUUCACAACAUAACAUCAUAUGUGCACAACUUUAUCAUCAUCCAGCUAGCUGGCCAUAAUAUAACACAACGUCAUAUACGUUACUACGGACAAUGAGCCAAAAUAUUUGAAUCCAUCUUACAUCUUUUUUUAUAAAUAACAUUUGAAAGUCUUUAAAUAAUUUUUAAUCUUUCUUUAAUACUUUAAAUCUUUUGAUAGAAUCCUUUAGAAAACAUUUAUUUUAAAAAGAAAUUUCUUAGCAAUAUUCAUUAAAAGCACAUGUAAAACAUAGUUUUGAUUUAAGUGAAUAUUUUAUAUUAAAUAUUUCCAAAAGGUGAUUUUACAUUCCGAUUACAUAAUCCUUACAUCCUAAACAUCUUUUAUUACAUAGUAUGUAAUAUGCCAAUUCUCCUAAGGGUAUUUAAGUUUUUAAAAAAUUUUAGUGAUCUUUUUACCCUAGUAUAAAAAGAAUAAGAUGUCUUUCCCAUUAUGAGAGAGAGAGAGAGAGAAAGAGAGAUCGGCUAAGAUGAAAAAAAAAUGACAGAGAGGGAAAAAAAAAGAGAUGGAGAGAAAAGAGAGAAAAAAAAAGAAAAAAAAAAGGGAAGAAGAAAAAUAAAGUCUUCUUCUUGGUUCUACCAUGAGCAACACAUGAGAUCAAGUUGCGUCGUUUGAAUUGGAUAUUGUUGAGACAAGAUUGGAGGUAAGUUUUAAUUCUUGGUUUUCAUUAAUUUGUUAUGGAGAAGCAUGAUUAGAUGUUUGCAACAGAAGUAGAAACCUAAGAUUUUGCCGAAAAUAUGCUGACAGUGUGUUAUUUCGAAAAUCAUAGUAAUUUGUAAAAAUUUAUUUUGAUUCUUGAUUUUGGACAUGUUAAACUAGACAUCUUCUAGAAUGUUUUGAAAGUUUUUCCAAGCUAAUAGGAUAAGAUUUCAAUUAAUUACGAUUUUUUUGAAGUCAAGUCUGAAAACCUGGAAAUUUCUGAUUUUAGUGAAGAACCUUGAUUAUGAAAUUAUUUUUACCAUAGCUAGACUUAUGAUUUUAUGGUAAAACAAUAAUUUAUUUUGUAUUUUUAAAGUAAGCAUGUCCAGAACAAAAAAUUAUUUAACAGAAUCGAUUAUGUUUGAAAUGUAAAUUAUUUUCAAUAGUUUUUAAGGGAAUUAAGCUAUGAAAUUUUUACCAAUGAAUUCCCAAUAUGUUAGCAUAUUGUUGCGGACCACCAAAGCCACUAGCCCAAUUGCCCUCAAUUUCGGGCUAGGGAGCCCAAGACAAGGCCAAGAAUGCUAGCUUGGCCCGAUUUCAGAAACUUCUAGGCAACUCUAGCACAUUUGAGUUUGUAAAUAAUCUAGAAUACUCCACACAUUUCUAGCUCAUGUAAAUAUCUAGAAUUCUAGGCAUGUGGUAGAAUUCUCUAAAAUCUCUAAAGCUUGGCAAGCCUCCCCUAUAAAUAGCGCAUGGCAUUUAGUAUUUGAGCAACAAGCUUAGAGCAAGCAACUCAAACACUUGUAAGCUCUCUUGCAAUCUUUCAUUCGAGUAAUACAAUUCUCUUCAUUCGGCUCCAUUGCUCUCUUCUCUCUAGCUCUUUGAAAACCGCUAGGCUUAGCUAGGCGAGAAGCUCAAGGCUUACUUAGCAACAUUCGGCAAAGGUUGUCUAAGUGUCGCACGGGUUUGCUGCGCAAAACACUCAUCCCAUGAUAAGUGGUAUUGGAGCUAAGGUUUGCACCCACGCAAGUUAGCUCACGAGCAAUGGCCAACCCUCUAAAUCCAGUGCAAGAGGGCGUUGUUGGUGUGGAUGUUCCACCGGAACCAAGCCGCGGCCGUGAGGGAGAGCACGCCCAAGGCAAGACUCGCGGCAAGUCCAAGGCCCCAUCCGUCGAUGCGUUGGAGCCUCGUGUAACCACUCUCGAAAUUGCACUGUCCGCUGCUCAAGAUAGCCUCAAGGGAUUGGAGGAAAGAGUGGACGGUUUCGAGGGAGAAUACGUUGAGUUCACAGUGGCAACAAAAGCCCUCAUCCAAGAGCAAGCGAAUACUCUUCGAGGUGAGUUUCGAUCUUUCCAUGAUGAGUUGCUAAAACUUCAUAGCUUUGUUCAGGAUGAACUACGGGCUGUCCGUGCGGAAGUGGACGAAGUCCGCUCAGAUUGGACAUGGCACAAGCGCACACUCUCCGCUAGUCCAGUUUCCGCAAGCACGAGUGAAGCGCGAUGCAUUGACGUACUAAAGCCUGACACCUACAAUGACACAAGCAACGCCACAAUCGUGGACAACUUCCUAUUUGGGCUUGAUCAAUACUUCGAUGCCAUGGGUGUUCGAGAUGAGGCAUCGAAAGUGGGAACAACCCCCACCUAUUUUCGAGGCGCUGCACAACUAUAGUGGCGUCGCAAGCAUGGCGAGAUGGGCAAGGGCAUUUGUACCAUCGACACUUGGGCCGACUUCAAGCAAGAACUCCGAAAGCAGUUCACCCCAAGCAACGCGGAGAAGGAAGCGCGAGCGCGCCUACGUCGCUUUAAGCAAUCGGGUAGUAUUCGGGACUACAUCAACGAAUUCAUUACUCUCAUGCUGGAGAUAAGCUACAUGUCCGACAAUGACUCACUCUUCUACUUCUAAGAUGGCUUCAAGGAUUGGGCCAAGACCGAGCUUGAUAGGCGGGGUGUUCAAACACUUGACAACGCCAUCGCCAUUGCAGAGUCGCUCACCGAAUACUCUACCCAAUCCAAAGACAAAAAGGCCAACCAAGGCAAAGGUGGGGGAGAGAGUCGCAAAGACAAGGGCAAUAACUGCAAAGAUUAGGGGUAGAAAAAGCCGCUUAGCAACAAGAGCGGGCAAGAAAAAUCGGAGGGCAAAAAAGAGGCACCGAAGCCACGAAGCCUGUUGCACCAAAGCAACAGGCCUCAUUGGGUACGCGAUUGUUUGGAGAGGAAGUCGCUCAACAUUCUUGCUGCCCAACUCAAGAGCAACCCCACAAUGUCCACAGAGGAACCCCAACUCAGCAUGGGUUCUCUCCAACGCCUCAGUGCACUCAAUCGCCAACAGCCCACACUCACCAAUAAAGGGCUCAUGUAUGUGGGCGCGAAGAUAAAUGGGCAGUCCAUUCGCGCGCUACUAGACACGGGAGCGACACACAACUUCGUGUCCGUAGACGAGGCCAAGCGCUUAGGCCUCAAGGCCACCAAGGAAGGAGGCACGAUAAAGGCGGUAAACUUACCUGCCAAGCCAAUUGCGGGAAUUGCUUAAGGCGUGCAAAUAACACUCGGUACGUGGAGCAGAAAGCUUGACUUCUCCAUUGUGCCCAUGGACGACUUCAAGAUGGUCCUCGACAUGGAAUUCUUCGAUCAAGUCCAUGCCUUCCCGCUACCCGCUACCAACACGCUAAGCAUCCUCGACAGGAGCAAAGGAUGCAUGGUUCCCACAGAACGAGGCAAGUCCGAGGAGAAGACGCUCUCGACCAUGCAAUUCAAAAGGGCUUUAAAAAAGGACCCAAGUUUCUUAGUCUCAAUUCGGGAACUUAACGAGAAAGGAGAUUGUGGAAAAUCACCAAGCCAAGUCUCUCUGCGAAUACAAGCCGUCCUUAAUGAGUUCAAGGACGUGAUACCCCCUGAACUUCCGAAGAAGCUCCCACCUCGACAAGAGGUAGAUCAUGCGAUCAAGCUGGAACAAGGCGUGAAACCACCAGCUUUGGCGCCCUACCGCAUGGCGCCACCCGAACUUGAAGAGUUGCGGAGACAACUCAAAGACUUGUUGGAUACAGGCUAUAUUCGCCACUCAACGGCCCCAUUCGGUGCACUGGUCCUCUUCUAAAAGAAAAAGGAUGGAUCGCUGCAGAUGUGUAUCGAUUAUAGAGCGAUCAACAAGAUCACCAUCAAGAACAAGUAUAUGAUUCCCCUAAUCACGGAUUUGUUCGACCAGUUUGGCGAAGCGCGGUACUUCACCAAACUCGACUUGCGCUCUGGGUACUAUCAAGUGCGCAUCGCCAAGGGGAGACGAAUCAAAAACAGCAUGCACAACAAGUUACGGGUCUUUCGAAUUCCUUGUCAUGUCAUUUGGCCUCACUAAUGCACCCGCCACAUUUUGCACACUCAUGAACAAGGUACUCCAACCAUUCCUCGACUGCUUUGUGGUCAUGUACUUGGACGACAUCGUGGUGUAUAGCACCACGCUCGAGGAACAUGCCCAACAUUUGCAACAAGUCCUCUAAGUAUUUCGAGACAACGAACUCUUCCUCAAAAUGGAGAAGUGCUCGUUCGCUCAACAAGAAGUGGAGUUCCUUGGCCACAAGAUUGCGGGCGUAAAGCUUAUGAUGGAAAAUGCCAAGGUGAAGGCCAUCCUUGAAUGAGAGCCUCCAACGAAAGUGCCCAAUCUUCGCUCAUUCCUUGGAUUGGUGAAUUACUGCCGUUGCUUCAUCAAGGGCUACUCAGCCAAGGCGGCACCCUUGAUGGAUUUGCUCAAGAAAAACAUAACGUGACAUUGGUCCGAAGAGUGUCAACGUGCAUUCGAGGAGCUAAAGAAGGCGAUUUUGGAGGAACCCGUCCUCGCACUUUCGAACCACACAAAAUCCUUCGAAGUUUAAACAGAUGCCUCGAAUUUCACCAUAGGUGGAGUUCUUAUAUAAGAAGGCCACCAUAUAGCGUUCGAGAGUCGAAAGCUAAAUGAUACGGAAUGACGCUACACGGUGCAGGAGAAGGAAAUGACCGCAAUCAUACAUUGCUUGCCAGUGUGGCGACAUUACUUGCUUGGCUCACACUUCACAAUCAUGACGGACAAUGUAGCGACGAGCUACUUUCAAACACAAAAGAAGUUGAGCCCGAAGCAAGCAAGGUGGCAAGAUUUUCUUGCGGAAUUCGACUAUCGGCUCGAGUACAAACUGGGUAAAGCCAAUGUCGUUGCGGAUGCUCUAAGCCGUAAGGCCGAAUUGGCGACACUUAGCAUGAGCCAACCGAAGUCCGACCUUAUCUCAUGCAUCAAGGAAGGCCUCCAACAAGAUCCGGUAGUAAAAGACUUGCUGGAGAAGGUGCUCGAAGGAAAGAUAAGGCGAUUUUGGCAAGAGGAAUACAUCAUUCUCACCAAGGGAGAUCGGCUGUUUGUGCCAAAGUGGAAAAAUUUAAUGAAAAACGUCAUCAAGGAGUGUCAUGACUCCAAGUGGGCUGGUCACCCAGGAAUUGAGCGCACCACCGCACUAGUUCAAGCCUCGUAUUUUUUGCCGCACAUGAGGGAUGACAUCGAGGUAUAUGUGCGCAUUUGUCUUGUGUGUCAACAAGACAAGCUGGAUCAUCAACUCCCAAUGGGAUUAUUGGAGCUGCUACCACUCGCAACAAGGCCAUGGGAAAGUGUCUCCAUGAACUUUAUCACAUCGCUGCCCAAAUUCAAAGGGUGCGGCAACAUCAUGGUCGUUGUCGACCAUUACAGCAAGUACGCUAUAUUCAUUACCGUACUAGUCUAUUGCAAAGUGGACGAGGCAGCCCGCCUAUUCGUCAAGCACAUUGUGAAGCUUUGGGGAGUUCCGAAGAGCAUUGUGAGCGACCGAGACCCUCGGUUCACUGGGCGUUUUUGGACGGAGCUCUUUAAGAUGUUAGGGACCGAUCUUAAGUUCUCAACAAGCUUCCUCCCACAAACAGAUGGGCAGACCGAGCGCAUCAAUGGCCUCCUCGAGAUGUACUUGAGGCACUAUGUGAGCGCUCAUUAGCGGGAUUGGGCGAAGUUACUCGACAUCGCCCAAUUUUCUUAUAACUUGCAGUGAAGUGAGGCUACGGGCAAGAGUCUGUUCGAAAUCGUCAUGGGGUUCCAGCCCAUGACCCCUAACGCCAUAGCCGCAACUUACAGAGGAAAAAGCCCCGUGAUACACAAGCUCGCCCGCGAAUGGCAUGAGGAAGCGGACAUCACGCAAGCCUACCUCGACAAAGUCGCGAGGAAGAUGAAAAAGUGGGCGGAUACAAGGAGACGACAUGUGGAGUUCAAGGAAUGCGAUCAAGUCAUGAUCAAGCUCUUACCCCAACAAUUCAAGACAUUGCGGAAAGUCCACAAUGGGUUAGUGAGACGCUACCAGGGACCCUUCCAAGUUGUACGAUGUGUGGGCAACGUCUCGUAUUAACUUCAACUUUCGUCAAGACUUAAGAUCCAUCCGGUCUUCCAUGUGAGCUUUCUCAAGCCAUAUCACAAAGACGUGAGAGACCCAAGUCGCGGAGAAUCGAGGCGUGCGCCAACCGCCAUUGUCACCGCAUUCGACAAAGAUGUGGACUACAUCAUUGCGGAUUGCGUGGUUCGGAGAAGAGGCGUACCACCAUACAACGAGUACUUGGUGAAGUGGAAAAACCUCCCCGAGAGCGAAGCCACUUGGGAAUGUGAAGAUGAUUUGUGGCAAUUCGCUGAGCACAUCUAAAGCUUCAAGCACGAAAGUGCGACGAGGAUGCCGCGAGCUUAUGUGGGGGAGGAUGUUGCGGACCGCCAAAGUCACUAGCCUAAUUGCCCAUAAUUUCGGGCUAGGGAGCCCAAGACAAGGCUAAGAGUGCUAGUUUGGCCCCGAUUCUGGAAACUUCUAGGCAACUCUAGCACAUUUGAGCUUGUAAAUAAUCUAGAAUACUCCACACAUUUCUAGCUCAUGUAAAUAUAUAGAAUUCUAGGCAUGUGGUAGAAUUCUCCAGAAUCUCAAGAGCUUGGCAAGCCUCCCCUAUAAAUAGGGCAUGACAUUUAGCAUUUGAGCAACAAGCUUAGAGCAAGCAACUCAAACACUUGUAAGUUCUCUUGCAAUCUUUCAUUCGAGUAAUACAAUUCUCUUCAUUCGGCUCUAUUGCUCUAUUCUCUCUAGCUCUUUGAAAACCGCUAGGCUUAGCUAGGCGAGAAGCUCAAGGCUUACUUAGCAACAUUCGGCAAAGGUUGUCUAAGUGCCGCACGGGUUUGCUGCGCAAAACACUCAUCCCGUGAUAAUAAGCUCUAUAAAAUUUGAGAUUUUUCUAAUAAGGUAAUAAUUUAUUAAAAAUCGGAGAACAUGGACUGUUCUGUUUUGAAGACCGAAUAUUGAAGGCAUUUGAGGUUGAGUUUAUGAGCUGUUUAAAAUGAGAUAUUUAAGGACAUUAGAGUUUAUGAUUAAGACUUGAUUAUAUCUUAUGAGAAUUUUGUUAUGAUUUUUAGGUCAAUGAUAUCAGUAUGCAUUUGUUACAUGAGGGUGCCAAGAGGUAAGUAAACUAGAUUUCUAAAUGAAUCACAACAAACAAUAUGUAUAUGUUUGACAUGUUUGAAAAGUCUAUUUUGAUAUAUAUACGGAUAUGGAUUUAUAUGUUCUGCCGAUGUGUUUAUAUGAUGUGUUGAUAUAAUGUGUUGUUAUGUGUUGUGUGUUUAUGGACAUGAGCAUAUGUAUGUGUAAAAUUUCAUUGUUAUGUGUUGUGUGUUUAUGGACAUGGCCCAUCCUCAAUUCUCUCUCUUGAUCUUUGUUUUCUCUUGUUUUGUUUCUCUAUUCUUUUUCUCUAAUGAAGGCCUUUUUUUUUUGUUGCGUGUAUGCUCCUUUUAUAACUUAGAAUUGGGGCAACCGAAAGCCUAGGGUGCACAUCUUCUAGUUUAGGAAACUCCAAAUCGCAAUCUUUUAAGUAUCUCGCAUGAAAUCUUCUCUGUCGUUGCUCCAGGAUUGUUACAACAACAGUGCUACAACAUUGGCUUCAACAUCUGCACUGUUCCAGACUUGUUUCAAUUCUUCUAUAAUCAUGUUCUUUCCUUAUCCUUACAAGCCUACUGCAGCAACAUUCCUUAAAUCUUGAGCUUCUGGUCACCUUCAAUUAUGCAUAUGAACUAAGCACACAAAUUAUUCAAAAUCAAACGAAAUUUAUUGAGAGUAAAUUGAAAUGAAUGCUCAUGAAAUAUAUAACUAUAAAGUUGCUAAUAACGAUAAGCAAACUAGAAACAAGUUGCUCAAUUCGGUAAGCAAACUCACGCAUAAAGUUGCUAAUAACGAUAAAAUACAUAAUCAUUAUGAAGUACCAUAAAUUAGAAACAAGUAAUCAUUUCAUAAUCUAAUAUAUAUUAAUGGUAAAACUCAUAAUCAGAUCACUUAUAACGUAAUAAUCAUUUUUAAUAAAUAGUUGUUUAAGAAAUCAUUUAUCAAUAACGCCUUUCAUUCGUUCAAUUUGCUCAUGCCACAUAGUGUCACCUAUAAUCUUGGUGACCUGAUUAAUAGUUUAGUAUGUCACCUGCAAUUUGGGUGACCUAUCAAUCAGGGCACUUUAUCCUGCAAUAAUCGUUGAUAGGUGUGCACAAUACAGCUAGUUGUUGGGUUAUAUUAAUAUCAAUAGUUAUGGACAAUGAGCCAAAACCAUAAAUACAAUUUUAAAUCUUUCAAUAUCAAUCAUUCAAUACUCUAUCAAUAAAACACUCUUGUCAGACAUUUAAAUUGGCAAAGCUUCAAAAAUAUUUUUUAAGGAAAACAAUUUAUGGAAAGACAAGUAUUUUAAAGUGAUUUUGAAAACAAAUUUUAAGAAAACAUUUUAAACAAGUUUUUAACCAAAAUAGAACUUAUUAUCAUAAACUAUAAUGGUAAAAUUACUUCAAAAGCAUAAAAUGCCAAUCUAUAUCAAAUCUUUUCACAUAUCUUUACAUAUAUACAUGUAAUAAACAUUAUGCAUGAAUUCACUUACUUUGAUCCGAAUCAAUCAACAAUAACCCCAAUCAUUCGAGCACACUCUUGGCCUACAAUUAUCAAGACAUAUUUUUAUCAAUAUCUUAUUCAAUUUUGACCUUGAAAAGAAACCUAGAAAUCUUAAACUAUUAGCUCUUACUUAAGCACAUCAAUUCACUAAAUUACACUCAACCAUCUUACAGGAGUUGAUUUCUAACAAGCUAUAAAUAUGUCCAAAAAAAAAUCACAAAUAUCACAAAAAACUAAUGUGAACAUGCUGGCAUUCAAUAUAAAAUUUUAAAAAAUUAAUUAAUUACAGUUCUCUGAACAUCUUUAAAAAUUGAUUUUCCAUAAAAAUAUCAAAAUUGUCCAGUGACGAUAUAAACAGAGGACUGCUAAUUUAAAAAUUCAUAAAUUUAGUUAUAUAUGCUCAAAAAUAGUGAUUCAAGCUUUGUCAAAUAUAAGAAACAAUAAGGAAUCAAAAUUAAAAUUUUAUAAGGCAUUUUACUAAUGAAAAAGUAACCCAAGUUGACUUCCAUUUCAACCCUCGCAAUUCUAGAAAAUAGUUUCUAGGACAACUGUGCCGAAUCUAUGAUUUUUAAUGAUUUUUAUAUAAAGCUAAAAAUUAAAAAAUUUAAUAUAUAGAAACUAGACACUAUAUGUACAAUAAUGAAAAUUCUCAGAAUUUUCAGAAGUCGUUUGGGCUAUGAAAUAAAUUAUAUAAAUGAGAAUUACUGCUGAAAAUCAAAAUUUUCUUGCACCAAUGUUCCAAAUUCGAAAAAUCAUUACAAUUAAUAUACAAUGAGUUUUUGAACGAUAAACAUAUGAAUAGAAAGCUAAAGAUGUCUAGUUUAAAAAUCUACAAAGUUUCUAUGCAUGAGACUUAAGGCAAAUAGCAGUUGUAUGACAUUCACUCUAUAUUGUUCAUAGUUUUUGGAUAACACAGUAACAUCAUUUCCAAUCAAUAACAAAAUAAACCAAUACAUGAUCAUGCUUUCACAAAUUUUAUCAAUAUAAAACACAUAAAGUCAUUCAAUCAAUAACAUAAAAUCACAAAUAAAACUAGAAUUUCAAAGGAUUAUAAAUUCGUACCCACUUUAAAAAAAAAAAUUAAAACUCAAGAACUUCUUUAAUGGAGAACGGAAACACAAUCAAAAUCUUCCCCUCUUCUUAUUUAAAAACGUGAUUUUACUCUUAUGUUUGCUAUUUUAUUCCUUUCUUUAUUAGCCUCUAGGGUUUUGAGAAACGAAAUAACAUAAGAGCAGUCUUUUAUAAGUCUUUUAAUACCCUUACCCAUUAAGGAAUUUAUUUCCUUUUUUAAUAGGGUAUUUAAUAAACAUAAAACAACAAAAACAAUUAAGUAAUUUUAAAAUUUAAAACACUCAUCAUUGACCUAAAAUACUAUAUUCUAUAAAAUAGAUAUAUAACAAUAAUAAUAAAAACAAAAACAACGUGUGUUAUAGUUUCUCCCCUUCUAAAGAGAAAUUUCGUCCUCAAAAUUUAGAACGUCGCCUUAUUCCUAAAAAACUGAGGGUAUUUCUCCUUAUUCUCUGCCUCUCAUUCCCAAGAUAGAAUAAUUUGCUAGCGAACUUUCACUAAAGGUGCAACUCUUCUCCUUAAAACUUGUUCCUUCGUAUCUAAGAUGUCUAUUGAUUGCUCCUUGUAUGAUAUAUCAUUUGAGAUAUUGAUAGGUUGGUAAUUUAAGAUAUGAGAAGGAUCAGCCAUGUACUUCCUCAAUACCGAAACAUGAAAUACAUUGUGAAGCCUUGAAAGGCUCAGUGGUGAAGCCACUCGAUAUGCCGUCGUGCCAAUUCUCUCUAGAAUCUUAAAAGACCUAAUAAACCUAGGCCUAAGUUUACCUUUCUUCCUGAAACGGAAAAGUUCUUUUUAAGGUGAGACUUUCAAGAAUACAUAAUCCCCAACUUACUCUGGAUUAUGUCUAUUUCAAUCAGCAUAAUUCUUCUACCUACUUUGAACUGUGGGGAGACGCUCUCUUAUCAACUUAAUUUUGUCAACAGUAAUCUGAACUAAUUUUGGCCCUAAUAGUUUCCUCUUGUCAACUUCAUCCUAACAAAUAAGCUACUUGCACUUCCGCCCGUAUAAAGCUUCAAAAGGCGCCAUGCCAAUGUUAGAGUGAAAGCUGUUAUUAUAGGCAAACUCCACUAAUGGCAAAUAUUCUUUCCAAUUACCUUCUAAAUUUAAUUCACAAGCUCGUAACAUAUCCUCAAGAGUUUGGAUAGUCCUUUCUGAUUGUCCAUUGGUCUGAAAAUGAAAGGCAGUGUUGAACCUUAACUUCAUCCUAAAUUCUUUCUGUGAACCACACGAAAAUUUAGAGGUGAAUCGUGGAUCUCUAUUUGAGACAAUGGACCUGACAUCUAUGCAAUCUCACUAUCUCAUCUAUAAAAUAUUGCUUCAGCUUCCAAAACUUGUCAGUACUCUUUAUUGAUAAGAAAUGUGCUGACUUAGUCAAUUCAUCUAUAACACGUGUCCCAUGCUAGCCCGGCCCAUCAAAGGAAGGCUCAUACAUGCUCGUGCUCGUGCUGUGCUGUGCCUAAUUUUUUUUUGCUUAGACCCAGCCUGGCGCACGUGUUGUGCCUAAGAAAAAAAUCUCGAUACGCCUUUUUUUUUUAAGAGUGCAUGCCAAGUUGUUGGCAUAUUUUUUCAAGCUUUAGUACUUUUUUUGGUCCAUGCACUUUUAUUCAAAUUUGAUAAAAUCAAAAAUUCAAAAUUCAAGUCUAUAUUUAAUAUUAAUAAACUAAUCAUAGUAAGAGAAUGUAAUAUUAAUUAUUAAGUUUAACCAUAUGGUAUUGGAAUUCGUUUUUAAUACUUAACAACAACAACAAUAAUAAAAUUUUCCCAAGAUUUAACUUAAUUGUUAACUCAGACUUACAUAGAGUCAUAAAUUAUAGUUCAUAAUAAUAUUAAUACAUAUUUAUAAAUCAUAAUAUUUAUAAUUUAUUUAUUAAAAUCAUGGUAUCAAUUAUUUAUUUAAUAAAUUAUAAACAUAAAUCAAUUAUAGUAUUUUUUUAAGUAAAAAUUAAAUGAAUUUAGAAAAUUUGUACUAAUAAAAUAUAUUAAAACAUUCAAUUUCAAUUUAUUUGUAAAAUCAUAAAAUUUUAAGUUUACUUUCAUUAAAAAAAUGAAACGUAUUUAUUGCUGCGAGUUUUUUCCUGUGUCAUGCUUUAUCCUAUUUCUAAUAGUGUCGUGCUUUUAAGGCCUACGUGCCUAAAAUUCUAAGUCCGGCCCAACCCACGUGCAUGUCGUACCGUACUGCGUUCCCCACCGAAACAUACUAAUACCGUACUGUAUAGACACAUGCCGUACCGGUAUUGAACCACGUGACAUCCGGCCCGUUGGCCAUCUCUAUAUAUUCGCCAUCAACCAGUUAGGUUUAGGAUGCUGGGCACAUGCGAGAGAGAAUUUGGGAGUUAGGUUUUCAAAAUGUGGAGUCCAGCGAAAUUAGUACGUUAAAUGGCCAUUUACUGUCACGUGGUUAGUAACAGAUAUGCAGCGGUCCACUGUCACGUGGUUAGUAACAGAUGUGUCAUAAAUUGUCACAAAAGCCACUGGCAGUUACAACAAAUUUAUGGUAUAUGUACAGCUGCUUUUAUUUUUACAUUAGGGGUCACGUAUACCCUAUUUUCUUGUAGUGAGUAUCCGUGCAACCUUGAUUGUGUGGCUGUUAAUAACAGUGAACCAAUAUCAAAGAUUGAUCCAUUUGGGUACACUCAAAGAAACCACUACUAUAAGUUUUCACACUACUCAUCACUAUUCUCUUCAAAGAGCACAACACCCACUCUAUUUGCAAAAAUAUUAAGAUUCUCCUAUUAAAUACAACAAAUUGCUAUUGUUCUCAUAAGAGAAGAAUAAUUUCAGUUUCUGAUACCCGGAAAAACAUGUCAGAAUCCAGAGAACAAAGGUGGUCUCUAAAGGGUAUGACCGCGCUUGUAACAGGUGGAACCAGAGGCAUCGGGUUUGUGCUUCCACUACUUUGGCUUUCCUAUAUAUUGAUAUUUUUAAUGAUAAUAUCUUAGACUUUGCGUUUAUAAUUGAUUUAUCAGACACGCAAUAGUAGAAGAACUAACGGCAUUUGGAGCAAUAGUGCAUACAUGUUCACGUAAUGAAACAGAGCUCAAUGAAAGAAUUCAAGAAUGGAAGAGUAAGGGGCUUAAAGUAAGCGGCUCGGCAUGUGACCUGAAAAUUAGAGCUGAGCGUCAAAAGUUGAUGGAGACUGUAUGUUCUGAAUUUGAUGGCAAGCUCAACAUCCUUGUAAGUUCUUCUGCCAAAGUACCAUUUGAGCUACUCAUAUCUGAGAAGCUCAAAAUCCAACCAGAAAAUAGUGUCCCUAGAUAAUAACUAAAGGCUAAAUGGCAGACUAGGUUGGUGGGGAUAUAUCUGGUAGCAAUAUAUGUGAGCUAUGUAUUGAGGUAACAUGAGGUUCAAUUCAUUGCUGAAACAUAUUCAUAGACAAAAUUAUCUGUCAGCGAUCAUGAAUUGUCCAGAGUAAUUAGGAGUACAGUAAUUUAAAUUGAGUACUUAAGCAAAAAUGAUCAUAUAAUGGGAAUAUAAGGAUAUUAUUGCAAAAUAAAAUGGCAGAAAGAAAACAAAAAUUAGGAUCAAAACCAGUUAGUUAGAUAGUUUUGAUAGAGAAUCAAAUAAAGUUGACUUCUGUAGUUGGGCAGGGGACUAUCAGAUAGUUUUGGAGGUAAAAUCAUUCUUAAAAACGGCAAUGCAACAGAUUGCUUCGCUUUCUAAUUCUCUUGGCUUCUUUUCACAAUAACAAUGCAACUUUUUGGUCUCUUUUCCUACUCAAAACUCCAGAACAUUUCAAUGCAUCAUUUUAUCAGGUAAACAAUGCUGGAACCACCAUUCCUAAGGAAGCCACAGAAUUUACCAUGGAGGAUUUCUCGACUAUAAUGACCACCAAUUUCGAGUCUGCUUACCACCUGUCCCAACUUGCAUACCCCCUACUCAAAGCAUCAGGAAAUGGAAACAUCAUUUUUAUCUCCUCUGUCACGGGUGUUAUAGCUGUACCUCUAUGUUCCAUCUAUGCAUCAACUAAAGG
rnacentral:lncRNA from 1 species